rnacentral:piRNA from 1 species
CUGGGCUAAGGAUGUGGACACUAUAA